UGUUUUCUGACAAAGGGUUGGC
rnacentral:miRNA from 1 species